rnacentral:rRNA from 1 species
AAAGAUUAAGCCAUGCAUGUCUAUGCACACGCCCUUGAAUGGUGAAGCCGCGAAAAGCUCAUUACAACAGCCAUAGUUUAUUGGAUGUGUACGUUCCUACAAGGACACCUGCGGUAAUUCUGGAGCUAAUACUUGCAAUAAACGACGACCUUACGGAAGUCGUGCAUUUGUUAGACUAAACCAAUCGGUUCUUCGGAACCGCCAUUUGGUGAACUCUGAAUAACUUAGCUGAUCGCACAGUCUCGUACUGGCGACGAAUCUUUCAAGUGUCUGCCUUAUCAACUUUCGAUGGUAGUUUGCACGACUACCAUGGUUGUAACGGGUAACGGAGAAUAAGGGUUCGACUCCGGAGAGGGAGCCUGAGAAACGGCUACCACAUCCAAGGAAGGCAGCAGGCGCGCAAAUUACCCAAUCUCAGCACGAGGAGGUAGUGACGAAAAAUAACGAGGUGGCUCUCUACGAGGUCCAUCAUCGGAAUGGGUACAAUUUAAAUCCUUUAACGAGGAUCUAUUGGAGGGCAAGUCUGGUGCCAGCAGCCGCGGUAAUUCCAGCUCCAAUAGCGUAUACUAAAGUUGUUGCGGUUAAAAAGCUCGUAGUUGGAUCUGCGCUCGGUGAAAGCGGUCGCCCGAUGGGUUGUUACUGCUUCUCCCGGGCUAACCAUUCGGUUUUCCCUUGAUGCUCUUCAUUGAGUGUCCUGGGUGACCGGAACGUUUACUUUGAAAAAAUUAGAGUGCUCAAAGCAGGCGAUUUGCCCGAAUAUUCGUGCAUGGAAUAAUAAAAGAGGUCCUUGUAGCCUUUUAUUGGUUAUCGCUACGAGGAAAUGAUCGAAGGGGACAGACGGGGGCAUUUGUAUUGCGACGUUAGAGGUGAAAUUCUUGGAUCGUCGCAAGACAAACUACUGCGAAAGCAUUUGCCAAGAAUGUUUUCAUCAAUCAAGAACGAAAGUCUGAGGUUCGACAGCGAUCGGAUACCGCUUUAGUUCAGACCGUAAACGAUGCCAUCUGGCGAUCCACCGGCGUUAUGUAUGACUCGGUGGGCAGCCACCGGUAAACCUUUAAGUCAGGUUCCGGGGGAAGUAUGGUUGCAAAGCUGAAACUUAAAGGAAUUGACGGAAGGGCACCACCAGGAGUGGAGCCUGCGGCUUAAUUUGACU